rnacentral:lncRNA from 1 species
CAAGGGUCAAUUUAGGCCCAUUUUCAUCAAGCGAUCUUAAACCAGUUUAACGUCUGAAACUGAGUUUGACGCGCGAAACGGAUUUCACCAGAAU